GGAUGUUGUGUAAAUGCUCCUAUGAUUGCGAUUCUUGAUUACACCAAUGGAUCUGAAGGAUAUACGUAUAAUUACUAUGACGAUGUUACUACUCAACGAGUUGUUGAGAUAGUUGAGAUAGUUGCAGUGGGAUUUUGCCAAGAGAACUGAUGCUUCAAAGUGUUACUGCAAGGCUUCCAACCUCAGAGGAGCUCGAUGCCUAUGCACAUGAGCAAUGGGAACUUUGUUAAGCAGUGUUUCCUGCUGCAACUUAUAAGUUCAGGACAAGCUGAAAAAUCAACGAGCUUCAGCUCUUCCAUGAUGAAAAUUUUUCAGCGUGGUCUUUUGCGUCAGAGGUGCUAUAUCCUGCCAUGAACUUUAGCUUCAUUUCUUUUAUGCAAUAGAUAUUGAGGGUUCUAUAUCUCACGAUUGGUGUCAUGAUGUAUUUAUGUCUGUUUUUACAAAGAUAAAGA